CCUACGGGAGGCGGCAGUGAGGAAUAUUGGACAAUGGGCGCAAGCCUGAUCCAGCCAUGCCGCGUGCAGGAAGACGGUCCUAUGGAUUGUAAACUGCUUUUGUACGGGAAGAAACACUCCUUCGUGAAGGAGCUUGACGGUACCGUAAGAAUAAGGAUCGGCUAACUCCGUGCCAGCAGCCGCGGUAAUACGGAGGAUCCAAGCGUUAUCCGGAAUCAUUGGGUUUAAAGGGUCCGUAGGCGGUUUAGUAAGUCAGUGGUGAAAGCCCAUCGCUCAACGGUGGAACGGCCAUUGAUACUGCUAGACUUGAAUUAUUAGGAAGUAACUAGAAUAUGUAGUGUAGCGGUGAAAUGCUUAGAGAUUACAUGGAAUACCAAUUGCGAAGGCAGGUUACUACUAAUGGAUUGACGCUGAUGGACGAAAGCGUGGGUAGCGAACAGGAUUAGAUACCCUGGUAGUCCACGCCGUAAACGAUGGAUACUAGCUGUUGGGGGCAACUUCAGUGGCUAAGCGAAAGUGAUAAGUAUCCCACCUGGGGAGUACGUUCGCAAGAAUGAAACUCAAAUGAAUUGACCGGNUGAGNGNGCGAGACGACGACGAGGGAGGAGG
rnacentral:rRNA from 1 species